rnacentral:rRNA from 1 species
UACGUAGGGGGCUAGCGUUGUCCGGAAUCAUUGGGCGUAAAGCGCGCGUAGGCGGCCCGGUAAGUCCGCUGUAAAAGUCAAAGGCUCAACCUUUGAAUGUCAGUGGAUACUGCCGGGCCAGAGUCCGGAAGAGGCGAGUGGAAUUCCUGGUGUAGCGGUGGAAUGCGCAGAUAUCAGGAGGAACACCAACGGCGAAGGCAGCUCGCUAGGACGGUACUGACGCUAAGGCGCGAAAGCGUGGGGAGCGAACAGG